GUGCGAUGCUUGCUGUAGGAUAGUG
rnacentral:piRNA from 1 species